rnacentral:rRNA from 1 species
CCUACGGGAGGCAGCAGUGGGGAAUAUUGCACAAUGGGCGAAAGCCUGAUGCAGCGACGCCGCGUGAGGGAUGACGGCCUUCGGGUUGUAAACCUCUUUCAGCAGGGAAGAAGCGAAAGUGACGGUACCUGCAGAAGAAGCACCGGCUAACUACGUGCCAGCAGCCGCGGUAAUACGUAGGGUGCGAGCGUUGUCCGGAAUUAUUGGGCGUAAAGAGCUUGUAGGCGGUUUGUCGCGUCUGCUGUGAAAAUCCGGGACUCAAUUCCGGACUUGCAGUGGGUACGGGCAGACUAGAGUACGGUAGGGGAGACUGGAAUUCCUGGUGUAGCGGUGAAAUGCGCAGAUAUCAGGAGGAACACCGAUGGCGAAGGCAGGUCUCUGGGCCGUAACUGACGCUGAGAAGCGAAAGCAUGGGGAGCGAACAGGAUUAGAUACCCUGGUAGUCCAUGCCGUAAACGUUGGGCGCUAGGUGUGGGGCUCAUUCCACGAGCUCUGUGCCGCAGCUAACGCAUUAAGCGCCCCGCCUGGGGAGUACGGCCGCAAGGCUAAAACUCAAAUGAAUUGACGG